AGGAGAGUUUGAUCCUGGCUCAGGAUGAACGCUGGCGGCGUGCUUAACACAUGCAAGUCGAACGGAGUAUAUUUAAAAGCUUGCUUUUGUAUAUACUUAGUGGCGGACGGGUGAGUAACGCGUGGGCAACCUGCCUUAUACCGGGGGACAACAGCUGGAAACGGCUGCUAAUACCGCAUAAGCGCACGAAGAGGCAUCUCUUAGUGUGAAAAACUCCGGUGGUAUAAGAUGGACCCGCGUCUGAUUAGCCAGUUGGCGGUGUAACGGACCACCAAAGCGACGAUCAGUAGCCGGCCUGAGAGGGCAAACGGCCACAUUGGGACUGAGACACGGCCCAAACUCCUACGGGAGGCAGCAGUGGGGAAUAUUGCACAAUGGGGGAAACCCUGAUGCAGCGACGCCGCGUGAGUGAAGAAGUAUUUCGGUAUGUAAAGCUCUAUCAGCAGGAAAGAAAAUGACGGUACCUGACUAAGAAGCCCCGGCUAACUACGUGCCAGCAGCCGCGGUAAUACGUAGGGGGCAAGCGUUAUCCGGAUUUACUGGGUGUAAAGGGAGCGUAGACGGCUCUGCAAGUCUGAAGUGAAAGCUCGGGGCUCAACCCCGGAACUGCUUUGGAAACUGUAAAGCUGGAGUGCAGGAGAGGUAAGCGGAAUUCCUAGUGUAGCGGUGAAAUGCGUAGAUAUUAGGAGGAACACCAGAGGCGAAGGCGGCUUACUGGACUGUAACUGACGUUGAGGCUCGAAGGCGUGGGGAGCAAACAGGAUUAGAUACCCUGGUAGUCCCCU
rnacentral:rRNA from 1 species